rnacentral:RNase_P_RNA from 1 species
CGGGCCUCGCAGACGAUCGCCGGCGGGCGCCCUCCCUCGGGGGCGAGCGCGGGAGGAAAGUCCGAGCUCCACAGAGUGCGAUGCCGGGUAACGCCCGGUGGCGGUGACGCCAAGGAGAGUGCCACAGAGAACAGACCACCGGCCCGCGUACGCCUCCUUGGAGCGCGUGCUCGCCGCCGGUAAGGGUGAAACGGUGGGGUAAGAGCCCACCGCGAGGGCGGUAACGUCCUCGGCAUGGCAGACCCCAUCGGGAGCAAGGCCGCGUAGGCGGGCGCGGACGUCGCGAAAGCGCCGUCCAAAGGGCGACUCGCCCGAGCCCGUGGGUUGGCUGCUCGAGCCGUUCGGUAACGACCGGCCUAGAGGAAUGAUCGUCGGCGCGGCGGGGGCGAUCCCGUCGCGACACAGAACUCGGCUUAUGCGGCACCCGGACC